rnacentral:tRNA from 1 species
AAGAUGUUAAAAUGGGCCCUAGAACGCUCCGCAAACA